UACGAAGGGGGCUAGCGUUGCUCGGAAUUACUGGGCGUAAAGCGCACGUAGGCGGACUGUUAAGUCGGGGUGAAUCCUGGAGCUCAACUCCAGAACUGCCUUUGAUACUGAGAUCUUGAGUUCGGGAGAGGUGAGUGGAACUGCGAGUGUAGAGGUGAAAUUCGUAGAUAUUCGCAAGAACACCAGUGGCGAAGGCGGCUCACUGGCCCGAUACUGAACGCUGAGGCACGAAAGCGUGGGGAG
rnacentral:rRNA from 1 species